ACACACAUUUACUUAAUAUACUAAUAACAUUUUAUUAUUUUCAGCCAAUAGAAACUCCAAAACCUCAGACAAAGAGGACUAGAAUUUUACAUAAAAAGCCGCGUUCUGCAGUACAAAAGUUAGAAGAGGCAUCUCAAAUAGUGGAAAGUGCCAAACUCCGUAACACGGUAGUGUUCCGGUGUUUCCAGGAAGAGCACGAAACAAAACAAAGGCAGAUGGCUGAAACACAUGAGCUCAAACAGAAGCAACUUGCCGAAGCUCACGAAAGGGCUAGACAGAAGCAUCUUCUAAGGCUCAAAUUGUUACAGCAGCAAUUAAAUAAAUAAUUAUAUACUUAUAAAAAAAAUAAAACCCCUGUUUUAAAUGAAA